rnacentral:rRNA from 1 species
GCACAAGCGGUGGAGCAUGUGGCUUAAUUCGAUGCAACGCGAAGAACCUUACCUGGGCUUGACAUUUGGGGAAAAGCCGUAGAAAUACGGUGUCCUUCGGGGCCCCAAACAGGUGGUGCAUGGCUGUCGUCAGCUCGUGCCGUGAGAUGUUGGGUUAAGUCCCGCAACGAGCGCAACCCCUAUCCUAUGUUGCCAGCGGGUAAUGCCGGGGACUCGUAGGAGACUGCCGGUGCCAAACCGGAGGAAGGUGGGGACGAAGUCAAGUCUUCAUGCCCCUUACGUCCAGGGCUGCACACGUGCUACAAUGGCCGGUACAAAGGGUUGCAAACUCGCGAGAGUGAGCUAAUCCCAAAAAGCCGGUCUCAGCUCGGAUCGCAGUCUGCAACUCGACUGCGUGAAGUCGGAGUCGCUAGUAAUCGCAGAUCAGCAGGCUGCGGUGAAUACGUUCCCGGGC